UUCAUAAACACUUUUUUUUUUUUUUAUUGAAAAGAAAAAAAAAUGCUUCGACUUCUGGAGUUAUUAGCCUUGUGUACAUGUUAUUUUGUGUAUGUUACAUUAAUACCUAAGUUUGAAUAUACAAGUUAAAAAAUUUAACACUUUUUUUAUUUUACAUUAUUUUAUGAUUAUUUACACUGUUAAUUUUUGUAAGAAAAUUGAAGAUUUUUAUGGAGUUGCCUUCGUUUAGUACUAUUUCUAAUCGGUCUGCUGUUGAUGAGGGGUUUCGAAUGUUUUGAAAAUCUGAAUAGACUUGGAUGAUGUGUUUGAUGGUUAAGUCUUCUUGGCAUUUAUUACGCAUUGGUGUUGAAUCUUUACUAAUUGUGAAUGAAUGGGCCAAAAAUGUCAUAUUGCAUAUUAUGCCGUAAUAUAGUGUAUUUUUUUAUCCUUUUAAUUUGUUGGAAGGCUGAACAGAAUUCCAAUAACUUAGCCAUACCAUAUAUACAUUUUUUUUAAUCUGGACGGAAUUGGUAAUUGAUAUAUAGAUAGAUUUAUAUUUAUCUCUUUUUCACCCUAGACGGAAUUGGUAUAAAAAAGGUUGUUGAUAUGAAACACGGAUACAGCCGUUAAAAUGUUAAAUACUUUAAUUUGUAUUAUAAUGUUUUAAUCGCAAAUGUUCGAAAAUCUUUUCUUUUUUUUUAUAAUUGGUAAAUAUAGUAUACUAAUGGUUUAUCGUUGCUUUUAGGUGUACAUUAAAUAUAACAGUGGCUGCAUUCGUCCUCAUCCUAAGACGUCUUUUUUCAAAUUCAGUUUUCACAAAAAAGUUUUUCAUAAUGUUUUUAUGUUUUUAAUGAAUUUUUUUUUGGAGGGGUUGGGCUUUAGAUAUUAAAUUAAUUUAGAUAUUUUAACUGCCGGUAACAUGAAACCAAUUAAAGACUCGUUUAAGGAUCGUUGAAAAAUUAUACAUUUUUUUUUGAUGCUCCGAAACGAAAUACUGUACUUCCGUCAAGUAUUGAAAAUAGUAGUAUUUGUCUAAAAGUAAAAAGUACUUAAACGACUAUGUGCAAUGGGCUGGGUACAAAGGUAUGAAGCAAAAUCAUUUUACACACGUAUUUAAAAUAUAUAAUUUAUGUGGAACUUUUUGUAAACGUAUUUUAUUGCUUUUAUAGUUAAUGUUUGCAUAUAGGUAAUUUAAAUGAAAUACUUUAGAUCACCUCUAUAUGCAAAUAACCAGAGAAAUUGAAUUGACACAAGCAAUUACCCUAGCUCAAGAUACUGUUAAUCAAUUAACGAUAAUUGGAAAUAAUUGUGAUGACGAAUUUAAAGAUAUAAAUAUGUAACCCGGGACACACAUACGACACACCUGUGUCUAAUAUAAAUUAAAGGUAUGCUUUUGUGGUAGCGUC